GAGGGCAAGAGUUCUAGACCAGCCUGGGCAAUAUAGGAAGACUCCAUCUCUAUGAAUAAUAAACAUCAAAUGAAAUAAAUAAAAAGGAAAUGGUGCCAGGUAGACUGGAAGAACCUAGCAGUGGACUGGAUAUGAGAGGCGGUAUGAGAAGUGGUCAAGGCUGUAAGCUUUGAGGUCACAUAGACCUCAUCUCACAGCUAGGCUCUGUGUUGACAUUAAGCAAGCUGUGUAACCACUCUAAGCCUCUGGUUUCUCAUCUGUAAAAUAGGAGAUAGUAAUAGUCCCUGUCUCAUAGAAUUGGUAGAAGAAUUAAAUGAAAUAAUGUGCCUUAAAUACCUAGCCCAGAGCCCGUAAGUGCCCCACAAGUAUUAGCUGCUACUACUAUUUUUUAGUUCUAUUGAGAUAUAAUUCACAUACCACACAAUUUGCCUAUUUAUAUUGUACAGUUUUUUUUUUUUUUUCUUUAGUAUAGUCAUGAGACUGCAGCCAUCACCACUAUUUAAUUCUGGAACAUUUUCCUUACCUCCAAAAGAACCUCAUAUACUUAGUGUCACUCUCCAUCUUCCCUGCAGCCCCUAAUCACUAAGCUACUUUCUGUGCCUGUUCUGCACAUUUCAUGGAAAGGGAAUCACAUACUAUGUGGACCUUUGUGACUUGCUUCUUAGCGCGAAGUUUUCAACGUUCAGCCAUGUUGUACCAGGUUUUAGGAUUUUCUUACCGGUCAUAUUCACCACUCAUCCUGGAGCAAGACCAAGGAAAAUCUGCCUUGGAUCCUUCCGAGUACUGAGCAUUUUGAAGAGUUCAUCUUUACUGAUGCCAGGUAAGAUAUAACCGUACUUCCUGGCAAG